CGCCUUGCCAGCCCGCUCAGAAACUUAAAGGAAUUGACGGGGGCCCGCACAAGCGGUGGAGUAUGUGGUUUAAUUUCGAUGCAACGCGAAGAACCUUACCUGGUCUUGACAUCCCGGAGACCCUUAGGAAACUAGGGGGUGCUUCCAUCUGGAAGAAUCUGGAGACAGGUGCUGCAUGGCUGUCGUCAGCUCGUGUCGUGAGAUGUUGGGUUAAGUCCCGCAACGAGCGCAACCCUUGCCUUUAGUUGCCAGCAGUUCGGCUGGGCACUCUAAAGGGACUGCCGGUGUUAAACCGGAGGAAGGUGGGGAUGACGUCAAGUCCUCAUGGCCUUUAUGACCAGGGCUACACACGUACUACAAUGGCCGAUACAAAGGGCAGCGACACUGCGAGGUGAAGCCAAUCCCGUAAAAUCGGUCUCAGUCCGGAUUGGAGUCUGCAACUCGACUCCAUGAAGUUGGAAUCGCUAGUAAUCGUGGAUCAGCAUGCCACGGUGAAUACGUUCCCGGGCCUU
rnacentral:rRNA from 1 species